UCCCCUAACUGGGCUGCCUUGUCGAGCUU
rnacentral:piRNA from 1 species